rnacentral:rRNA from 1 species
UACGGGGGGAGCAAGCGUUGUUCGGAUUUACUGGGCGUAAAGGGCGGGUAGGCGGCCACCGCAAGUCAGUUGUGAAAUCUCUGGGCUUAACCCAGAAAGGUCAACUGAUACUGCGGGGCUAGAGUGCAGAAGGGGCGACUGGAAUUCUCGGUGUAGCGGUGAAAUGCGUAGAUAUCGAGAGGAACACCUGCGGCGAAGGCGGGUUGCUGGGCUGACACUGACGCUGAACUGCGAAAGCUAGGGGAGCGAACGGG